UGGGGAAUAUUGCGCAAUGGGGGAAACCCUGACGCAGCAACGCCGCGUGGAGGAAGAAGGUCUUCGGAUUGUAAACUCCUGUCUUCUGGGACGAUAAUGACGGUACCAGAGGAGGAAGCCACGGCUAACUACGUGCCAGCAGCCGCGGUAAUACGUAGGUGGCGAGCGUUGUCCGGAAUUACUGGGCGUAAAGGGCGCGUAGGCGGCUCUUUAAGUCAGAUGUGAAAACCCAGGGCUUAACUUUGGGACUGCAUUUGAAACUGAAGGGCUUGAGUGCAGGAGAGGUAAGUGGAAUUCCUAGUGUAGCGGUGAAAUGCGUAGAUAUUAGGAGGAACACCAGUGGCGAAGGCGACUUACUGGACUGUAACUGACGCUGAGGCGCGAAAGCGUGGGGAGCAAA
rnacentral:rRNA from 1 species